UUUCUUUUACACGUCCCUCAUCAAGCUCUCUCUGUCUUGUCUCGUUCUCUCAAUCUCCUUUUCUUGUUCAUCUUUCUCUGAAUCUUCUCUGCAUUCGUCUUUCACAUUGAUAAAAGAAUAUGGGAGAGCAUCUUAUUUGCCCUAGACAUGGUUCUCCCAUGUUCGUUUUUCCUGUUUUUGAUUAUGUUUCUCCCAAGUGUGUUGGUGUUAAGGUUCAUACAAAAACCGUCGCCGGUAGUGAAGUGCCCAAGAUUUUUCUUGAGUUUUCGAAUCUGCCGGAAGGGGAACCAGAGCGAUCGAAGAAGCUUCUGAAUUCUAUCGAUCAAGUUGAGGAAGUGGUGCUAAAUGAGUUGCAGAAACUGCAGAACACUCCAAGUGCCAAGAAUGCGCAGAGGGUAAAGCGAGUGCGUAGUUUAAUGUCUAUGAGGUGAUUUUUCUGCAGGGUUUGGAUUUGGACAGUGAUCAAGAUUUAAUUUGCGCUCUUUAUAUCUAUAACUAUUCCAUUAUAGACGGUCAUGCAUUCCCUCUUGUUAUUUUUUUUUUAUCAAUUAGCAUGCAUUCUUGAACGGUUUUGGGUGGAUAUUCACAGGAGAAUGUUCAUUGCAGAGUUCAUGCAUUGUAGGGAUAUCAUGUUAAUAUUGUAGAUAGUUUGCAUGCCAUCUUCUUAUUUUCAUCAUCCUUUGAUGGUUUUUGCAUGGUAUCAUAGAGUAGUCAUAUCGUAUGAAGAAGUAGUCAUAAGGGUGUAUUUCAAAGGAAAUUAUCAUGCAUGGGGUAUUAUUCCAAUUCCAUCAAUUCUUGUUGACUUUUGAAGGCUAUCGAACAAGUUAUGGAUGAAAAGCUUGGAGGAACGGUAAGUGGUAAAAAGUGUGGUGCUUCCUCGUGUCGUUAUUCAUUCUGGAUAUAUAGUUAUUAUGCGGUAAUUACUUUGAACAUAUUUGUUUCGAAUACUUCCAUUAUCAACUUUACACUUUUCGUGCUUAAGAUGUCCUUUGUCAAAACAAAUUGUUGGAAGGUGUUCUCAGGAAAUUUUAAUGGAUUAAAGCUGGAAGAUGGUGAAAGACUUGGUGCGAGAAGUGUUUCAUGAGGUUAUUUUUUGCAAGCUGAGGUCUAAUACAAUACAUUUUUUAAAUUUUACUGAUUUAGAUUUGGAAGAUGGCAGAGGAUGUCGCGGGUCAGGUUUGUUAUUUAUUAAUUUCUUUCCUUUUAAUUAAAUAUAUAUUAAUGUAACCCUCUUUCUGCAUAAGAUUCCAAAGAUAGAUUGUCUUCCCCAUAUCGGCUUGCUUUAAUCUUGUCCAAGAGGUGCUCAACAUUGUCAAAUGACAAAAGCAUGGCAACAAUUAUUCCUUAUAUAUGUUAAUCCAUGAUUUGUAAAUGACAUUGACAUGGGGGAUCUAUAAAUAAAUUGAAUUAGGAUGACUACCCAAUGGAUGAUGAUCAGUUUGAGAGGCUGAAGAAAGACUCACUUGCAUUUUUCAUGUUGGCAACAUAUGGAGAUAGAGACCCAACCGACAAUGCCGCAAGAUUCUCCAAAUGGUAUACUGAGAAAGCGCUUGAAGGAAAACGACUACAAGUGUUCUGUCAAGGUGGUCAACUGUUUAGAGUAUCAGGAGCAUAUGGAUGAAAACUUCAGAGCAAGAUUUCUAAAUUAGUUCAGCCUUAAGAAGGGUGGAACUAAAUAUGAAAUUAUUUACAGAGAACACAACUCAUCCCAAAAGCUCUAUUUGGUGUUUAUGCACUAAAACAUCAAUCCUUCUGUUAUCUCUAUUACUGACUAGUUUAUAGUUGUUUCUGUCAAAACUGGUAUGCACAAUACUAAUGCUGCAGCUCAGAUUAUAGGCAUAGAAGGGUUCUAUGGUCAGACCUAGCUUCUCUUAUUGCUGUCAGCCAAGGGAGCUGGAUUUGCCUAAUGAAAAAAUGCAUGGGGGGUCGGCAGCUUUUACGCUCUCACUAACUACAGCAAACUCAGCCAGUCUACCUCCACAUUGUCAUUCAGCAUAUGCAACACAAAAUGGGCUUUAGGAAGUAGCCAUUUUAGAUAAUAUAAAGUAAUAUACUUUUGUAUGAAUUGGACAAGAUUCUAUAACUUGGAACAAGUACAGCUGCAAUGUAACAUGCCAUUUAUUUCACUCUAGAAAUCAUUUGUCAUCAUAAUGUAUUCUACAUUUCUACUAACUUUUAGAUAGACACCUAAUAUAUAUACUUCCAUUCAAGGAGCUAGUAGUGUUUUAUUUUAAACAAAAAGAAAAGCAUCGAAGCAGUAUUAUUAUUAUGUAACUAAGAGAGUAUAAGCUUUGGCAUGGUGUAAGGUUGCAUAUGUCAAAACCCUGAAACCCACAAUAAUAGGAGUUUAAAGAAGGCCAUAUAUUCUAAACUGUAUAACAACACCAAACCCUCAAUAGAAACCUCACAACCUUGCCCUAUAACCCAUCAGCAUAAACGGGUGUCGCAUUUUGUGGUUUUUCCCCCAACGCACGGUCUUGCCCUAUAACCCACGAAUGCUGCACAAGUCUCGCCAUGCAUAAGAUGUUUGACGGAGGGACAGGGAACAAACCUCUUGCAGCAAUUGAAGUCACUAUUGAUGAACCUCUUGCAGCAAUUCGAGAAGGAGAACGAGAUUCAUGAAGCCUUGUAAUGGAGGUUGAGAGUUAGGUUAGAAUGAAGUCGGGGUAAAGGAAGAGCAAAGGUAAAAAGAAAUUGUACCCGUGCGACCCCCUUUUUCAUCCGUGGGCUUUGCUGCCUUCUACAUCAGAAACCACAACGUCUCAAGGCAACGCAAAUCUUGAUUCAACGACAUCCUUUGUACCACCACCAUCUGCAUCUAAUAAUUUCAAUCCAUUAGUAUUUUGUUUGUUUCUUUAUAAAUUCAGUAUAAAAAGUGUCUACGCCAUUAUAAGAAACUGAUAUUCUUGAAGAAUUCUUCCUCCUACACCAUUAGUUGAGGUCACUUCACAGAAGAACUUUUCAGCUCCUCGUGAUUUUCAAUCCUCAUCUUCCUUUUCAGCUUCAUCAUCACAAUAUGCAACUGCAGCACAAGCCUAGUUUCUUCUUGUGACGUCAAAUAUGCCUUUUGGUUCUGCCACGCCAUCUGCAACCUCAUCUUUUGGUGAUUUCUUAUGAGUAGAUUCAACUGAUAUGAACAAGUUUUAUAGUGUCUGGAGAUGAAAUAUACUUUGUACUAAAAAAAAUCUCGGUUGUUAUUUUAUUUUGCUUUUCUCAAUUGAUGUGUAUUAUAUUUACUUUUA